AUUGAACGCUGGCGGCAGGCUUAACACAUGCAAGUCGAGCGAGCGGCGGACGGGUGAGUAAUGUCUGGGAAACUGCCUGAUGGAGGGGGAUAACUACUGGAAACGGUAGCUAAUACCGCACACCACCCUAUGUGCCCAGUUGGGCUUAGCUAGUAGGUGGGGUAAUGGCUCACCUAGGCGAAGAUCCCGAGCUGGUCUGAGAGGAUGCCCAGCCAGACUGGGACUGAGACACGGUCCAGACUCCUACGGGAGGCAGCAGUGGGGAAUAUUGCACAAUGGGCGCAAGCCUGAUGCCGCCAUGCCGCGUGUGUGAAGAAGGCCUUCGGGUUGUAAAGCACUUUCAGCGAGGAGGCGUUACUCACAGAAGAAGCACCGGCUAACUCCGUGCCAGCAGCCGCGGUAAUAC
rnacentral:rRNA from 1 species